rnacentral:tRNA from 1 species
AUUUUGAUGGCUGAAUUUAGGCGGUAGAUUGUAAAUCUAUUUAUGGCUCUACAAGCCUCUU